AUGACCGGAGGGGAUUCCAUGGAUGCGAUCAGCCUGGACGAGUGGGAGCUCCUGCCUGACCUCGGGAGCUCCUUCUUCAUGGAGGAGUGCGCUGCUGGUGGUGGUAAGGAUCAGGAUCAGCCCUUGUUUGGGUCCGGUUUGGUCGUGAUCGACAUGGGCCACUUCACCAUCCACCCUGCAUCUCACCCUUGUACCUACUAUGAUUGCAUCCUAGAUGAAGAAGAGGCCAUGGAAGCACCGGUGCAAGCUGCCUCUACACAGCAGCAGCAUGACGUCGAAUUUGAGGACAUCGGCGUCGUGCAGGCCGAGCCGAGGCGAGUGGAGCUCACGAUGAUGGUGACCGAGGUACUGGUCUCCGGUGCAGAAGAGGAGGAAGAGAUGGCGAACACCCCUGUUGCCGAAGAGGAAGCUGGUGAUGAGGACGAGGUGAUGGUGGAAGCGGCACCUGAUCAUCUACCUCAUGAGGUGGAAGAAGGUGCGGAGAGAGACAGGGCAGGGAUGGACGCUGCUGGCUUCAGCGUCGGGAAACUGAGGGUGAACGGCGUCGGGGCGCUCUGCUCCUUCGGGGUCGCCGCUGCCACCUUGUGCAUCUUGGUGCUUGGCGGCAGGCCGCAGCAUCAGCAGCAGCAGAGGAAGAUUAUGGUGCAAGAUCAGAAGUCCCAGUUCCAGAUGUACGCCGAUGAUGAGAGAAUUCAUCGUGCCGUGGAGCAGGCGUCCAGGCUGAACCAGGCCGUGUCGUCGGUGAUGGGUGGCGCAUCCACCAGGGCGACCGUGUCGUUCGGCGGCCACUACAGCGGGUUCUGA
rnacentral:rRNA from 1 species